rnacentral:tRNA from 3 species
AAAAAGAUAAGCUAAAAUCAAGCUUUUGGGUUCAUACCUCAAAUAUAAAGUUAAUACUUUUCUUUUUA